rnacentral:rRNA from 1 species
GCAAGUCGAGCGGGGAAGGGUAGCUUGCUACCUGACCUAGCGGCGGACGGGUGAGUAAUGCUUAGGAAUCUGCCUAUUAGUGGGGGACAACAUUCCGAAAGGAAUGCUAAUACCGCAUACGCCCUACGGGGGAAAGCAGGGGAUCUUCGGACCUUGCGCUAAUAGAUGAGCCUAAGUCAGAUUAGCUAGUUGGUGGGGUAAAGGCCUACCAAGGCGACGAUCUGUAGCGGGUCUGAGAGGAUGAUCCGCCCCACUGGGACUGAGACACGGCCCAGACUCCUACGGGAGGCAGCAGUGGGGAAUAUUGGACAAUGGGCGAAAGCCUGAUCCAGCCAUGCCGCGUGUGUGAAGAAGGCCUUUUGGUUGUAAAGCACUUUAAGCGAGGAGGAGGCUACCUGGAUUAAUACUCUAGGAUAGCGGACGUCACUCGCAAAAUAAGCACCGGCUAACUCUGUGCCAGCAGCCGCGGUAAUACAGAGGGUGCGAGCGUUAAUCGGAUUUACUGGGCGUAAAGCGUGCGUAGGCGGCUUUUUAAGUCGGAUGUGAUAUCCCUGAGCUUAACUUAGGAAUUGCAUUCAAUACUGUGAAAGCUAGAGUAUGGGAGAGGAUGGUAGUAUUCCACGUGUAGCGGUGAAAUGCGAAAAGAUCUGGAGGAAUAUCGAUGGUGAAGCAGUCAUCUGGCCUAAUACUGACGUCUGAGGUACGAAAUCAUGGGGAGCAAAUAAGAUACAUACCCUGGUAGCCCAUGACGCACACGAUGUCUACUAUCCUCGGGGCCUUUGAGGUCUANGGCCCAGCUAACGCAUAAAUAGACGGCCUGGGGAGUACUGCUCUAAGACUACAUAUCAAAUUAAUUGACUGGGGCUCGCACAA